rnacentral:rRNA from 1 species
GUGAGGAAUUUUCCGCAAUGGGCGAAAGCCUGACGGAGCAAUGCCGCGUGAAGGAUGAAGGCCUAUGGGUUGUAAACUUCUUUUCUCAGAAAAGAAUUAUGACGGUAUCUGAGGAAUAAGCGUCGGCUAACUCUGUGCCAGCAGCCGCGGUAAGACAGAGGAUGCAAGCGUUAUCCGGAAUGAUUGGGCGUAAAGCGUCUGUAGGUUGUUUAAAAAGUAUUCUGUCAAAGAUUAGGGCUUAACCCUAGAUAGGCAGAAUAAACUUUUAAGCUAGAGUUUGGUAGAGGCAGAGGGAAUUCCCGGUGGAGCGGUGAAAUGCGUAGAUAUCGGGAGGAACACCAAAGGCGAAGGCACUCUGCUGGGCCAAUACUAACACUGAGAGACGAAAGCGAGGGGAGCAAAUGGGAUUAGAUACCCUUGUAGUCC